UCAAGAUGAAGGCAGUGUGCUCUUAGUUUCUCCCCAAAGGCUUAAGCUCUCUGGAGAAGUAGCUCUAGACGUGAGGAUGGAUGUGGUCUGGUGGCCCUGGUCUUGGAGGAUCCUGGCAUUUGUCUUUUCACUUGUGCUAAGGGUCAUGUUUCCUUAGCCAUCAAGAAGUCUGCAAACAACCCUGGUUUAUAUGUCUGAUGGAGAAGGAUUCAAUAGCGAGAGGGAAUGAGUUCUCUGGGCUGUGGCACUGCUGAGGAUAUGGACAUCUCUAUGAUGAUGGAGUUCUGUAUGGACUUAGCAAGUGCAUCACANNGAACUCAGAAGGAAGAAGAGGGGAAUACGGAGGUAGAAAAUAACAAGGAUUGAAAGUCCAAGAGAAUGUCAUGUACUGGGGCCUAUUAGCAAAAAAGAGAGAUUCUUCUAAAUGAAUCUGGCAGUCAGAUGGCUAACAUCAUACUGAGGAAAGGCAUGAGAAUGGUGUAAGGGCCUACGCUGCCUGCCAUAAAAGUGUUUAUGUAAGCAGCUGGAAGAAGAAGAGGGUUGUGGGUAAGACACAGGCUCCAAAAUCCUUAAUCUUCAUGUUUCAAAGAUUUACAGAAGAGGGUAUCCAGAGACCAAUGAAGAAGAAUAUGGUUUGAGGAUGAUGGGGUUUGCAAAGGCCCGAGGACAAAAAUGAAGGUGAAGAAGGAGAGGUCACCACAGCUCUGGAGUCUUCUGAAGUGUCUUUGAAAUGGAUUCCUGCAAAGCUAAUCUGCUCAGUGUCGCCUACUGGGUUCAGUGACUAUGAAAAGCUGUCUCCCUAAAGCUUUCCCUUCAGAGAGACAAUGGUCUCUUGGAAUUCCAGAUUCUACAAGGUGGCUACCUGGUGCUCUCCAUUUUCACCCUCUCCUUAAAGGCAUGAAUCCAGUCUUGGCCUUCCAACCCACAGCAUAUGUAAACAUCUCUCUCCUUAAGUGAACUUACUGCCACUAUGAACUUGAACUCUGAGACGAAGGAGAGGAGUUUGUUUUAACAGCUGCUUUUACAAUGAAACGCUGGAGUUAGUCCCUCCCAGGACAGCUGGUUCUGAUAGUCUGCUUUUAUACUAUCCUGCUUUUCUCUCAUGCCCAGCUGUGGCCCGCUGACAUUUUGUAAAACAAAGCACAAAACACUAGAAGGGCAAGAGAAUGCUAUUUGUUGGGGGAUAUUCUACACAGGGACCUCUCAGUGCUGACACAGGAGUUGUCUUCAAGUUUACUUUGUUAAAUUUGGUUUUUGGCUAGUUUAUAACUAUGUUUGUUACUAUAAUGGUUAAAUAUAUACUGCUGCCAGGUUGUCCAUCUGGUAGUCACUGCUACAGAAAGUUGUGUAAAAUUUAGGGUGACUAUGGUUAAUAGGUUUAUAAAUUAAGACCUUUAGAAAUGUAACUUCUUACCCCUUAUUUAUAUUUUUAGUGUUUAGGGUUUUGUUCUGAGUGGUAUGGGGACAGAGUUUCAAGUCUGGUCCCUGCUAGUNAUNCCUUACCACUGAGCUAUAUAUACCGCUUACUGCUUUUUAACCUUUUGAAAAAAGCUUUUGGGGCAGGGUGUGGGAAAGCUGCCCAGGCUGAUUUAUUUGGUAGACCAGGCCAAGGCUUGGGAUUCUACUUCCUCAAACGGCCUGGUUGCUGGGAUUACAGGUCUGUGCCACCAGGUCCACUUUAUGUGUUUAGUGUUGGUAACAUGAUACGAGUGACUUCCACAUUGGAAAACAGGAGUACAGAAUAUUUCCUUCACUUCAGGAUGUUGUCAGGCUUGGAUCAAGGCAUGAAGUCUUUCACAGAGGAGCUGUGGGAUGCAGAUCUAGACAGGAAUGGUGGAUGUGUGUUAUCUUCUUCACUCCCAACGGCACAUGUUUAUUUUAGCUGCCAAUUUCUAUUUUAUAAACAUCUAGGAAGGGAAGUUUUGGUUUUAAAGCUGUUCACAACAAUAAUCCCACUUCAAGGGAACUGUAAGGCGCAGAGAAGACAGUGCUCGUUCCACACAUUCCAGGUCUUUUUUAUUGGCCUCUAUUAAAUAACAAGGGGAAAUGUGCCCUCAGAUCACAACUUCCCCAGGACGAGCCUCUGUGUCCCAGCAAGGAGGAGGCAGAGAGCCCAGUCCUCCAUUGGCUGUGGGCCUCAGACCAAUCAACCACAUUUGGGAUAAAAUGCGUGUAGAUUCUAGGACAGGGAUUUAAAAAUAAA